ensembl:miRNA mir194a microRNA 194a
CAGCCCUGCUCGACUGGCACUCGCUGGCUGUAACAGCAACUCCAUGUGGAAGAGCUGUGGUUCCAGUGGAGCUGCUGUUACCUGCAGAGA